rnacentral:rRNA from 1 species
AGUGAACGCUGGCGGUAUGCCUAACACAUGCAAGUCGAACGGCAGCACAGUAAGAGCUUGCUCUUACGGGUGGCGAGUGGCGGACGGGUGAGGAAUACAUCGGAAUCUACUUUUUCGUGGGGGAUAACGUAGGGAAACUUACGCUAAUACCGCAUACGACCUACGGGUGAAAGCAGGGGAUCUUCGGACCUUGCGCGAUUGAAUUAGCCGAUGUCGGAUUAGCUAGUUGGCGGGGUAAAGGCCCACCAAGGCGACGAUCCGUAGCUGGUCUGAGAGGAUGAUCAGCCACACUGGAACUGAGACACGGUCCAGACUCCUACGGGAGGCAGCAGUGGGGAAUAUUGGACAAUGGGCGCAAGCCUGAUCCAGCCAUACCGCGUGGGUGAAGAAGGCCUUCGGGUUGUAAAGCCCUUUUGUUGGGAAAGAAAAGCAGCAGGUUAAUACCCCGCUGUUCUGACGGUACCCAAAGAAUAAGCACCGGCUAACUUCGUG